rnacentral:rRNA from 1 species
AACGAACGCUGGCGGCAUGCCUAACACAUGCAAGUCGAACGAGACCUUCGGGUCUAGUGGCGCACGGGUGCGUAACGCGUGGGAACCUGCCCUUAGGUUCGGAAUAACUCCCCGAAAGGGGUGCUAAUACCGGAUAAUGUCUUCUGACCAAAGAUUUAUCGCCUUAGGAUGGGCCCGCGUUGGAUUAGCUAGUUGGUAGGCUAAUAGCCUACCAAGGGGACGAUCCAUAGCUGGGCAGAGAGGAUGAUCAGCGACACUGGGACUGAGACACGGCCCAGACUCCUACGGGAGGCAGCAGUGGGGGAUAUAGGACAGUGGGCGAAAGCCUGAUCCAGCAAUGCCGCGUGAGUGAUGAAGGCCUUAGGGUUGUAAAGCUCUUUUAACCGGGAUGAUAAUGACAGUACCGGGAGAAUAAGCCCCGGCUAACUCCGUG